UCGAGCCCCUUCUUCUCCUCCUCUCCACCGCUGUGCCAUCGAUCUCAUCUGCAUCGGCCCCAAAUCCCUCGCCGGAGCUCACUCCGUCCGCUGCCGUGGCUCUCCACGGACAUGGGGCGGAUUUCUCCACCUCCCGCCCAACCUCGUCGCGGAACCAUCGACGUCGGUGAGCAGGGGAGGCGGCCACCGUGAGAGGAGGAAGAGGGGGAGGAGGAGCAUUAGGGUCGCGCGUCGGCACGUCCGCGUCGUCACCCCCACGCCGGGGACCCGUGCGGAAGCGAAGGGCCGAAGGGGAUGCGCGCCGGAGCGGCAGGGGACGCGGGCCGGCUCUGUUACGGUCUGUCACAAAGGGUGAAGCCAUAUAUCUGCACAAUGCCGUUGUAGCUUGACGGCGGUUGGAACAACAUUCAGUUGAAGCUCUCCGACCGGAUGAAAAGAGGAGGAGCUGCCGCCCGAGUUCAAGCUCUACCUUCCAGUUCUUCAGAUAUGGUGGAGGGAGAGACCACUGUUCGUGGCUUCCCAGGAGGCAGGAGCCCCGGUGACAUCGACGCGUAUCGCUGCGACAUCCAUUAGCGCAUAGAUAUGCAUAAAGUAUCAGAAUGUUUAAUUGUACGCUAGUUGUUGUCUGAAUUGACCUGUGUAAAGAUGUCGCUAACUGAACCCUUGUCCAGUACUGUACCUGCCGGUGCAAGUGCGUCGUUGCAAGCAAAUGCCAUACGGGCCACCCCGGUGCCGCCUUCCAUUUAA